CUACCGGGUACUUAAAGGCGGCGCAGAACACAAUCUGCUCACCGCUGACCGCUUGACACUGAUACGUUCUGAGAUCAAUGUAAACCUCAAAAUGAAAUAUCAGCUCUGAUGAUCAAAAAAUUUGUGGUUGGCAGCAAAAUUAAGUUUGAUUGUCAUGAAGGUUACAAAAGAGGCCGCGGUAGCGGGGGAAUAUACACCUGCUCCAACAUUUCCGGGGAAUUGAAGUGGCACGACAAAUCUCCUAAAGAGUUUAAAUGCAUAUUGAAAGAUGAGACUGCCAAUAUCACAGAGCAUCCUGUGAGAACACCUGAAGACCCUACAAGUUAUAAGAAUAAAACUAUCCCAAGAGGUAAAUG